GCAAGCCUUGCAGAAUGUAGGAUGCAGUCAGUUGGUGAAGAAGAGAGGCUGGGAUGAUGAGGGGAGAGGACAAUGAGAUCUGCUCAGCCCAUCAGAAGUAAAAGGGUUAAAAAAAACCCUGAAAGAUUGCAUGAAAGAUACCCUAUCAUUUUUCUGGCAUGGCACCAGUACUACUAAUCUCCCAAUUUAAUCGUAUUGCCUUAAAUGGGCAUUUUUCUGGAGAGGACACAGGAAGGUUGUUUGGUCUCCUGUCAACACAGAACAUCUGUUUUGAAUUGUAGCCCCUGGCAGCAAGGAGGAGUGGAGCUGAGAGGCAG